CUAACAUCUGGAAAUUGAAGGUACAACACAAUGUUUUUAUUUGGAGCCAUUAGUAAACAAUAAAGCAUUCUUCUUCAAUGACAUGGUUUAGAUUUCCAUGUUUCCUUUCCCUUUUUCUAUUAUAUAUAUUACGCCUCGAUUGAUGAGACUCUAGAAAUCCUAUGUGGUAGGUGAAAUAGGGCCAGCAUUCUGCCCAAGAGGUAGUAUGGCCAAACUCUUGAAGAGGCCUAACCUAUAUAGAAAGUCGAACCCAUUUGCACGAGUCGACCCCAUAUGGAGAAUCGAACCCUCAUGGCAGGGCAAGGUUGCAAGGGAUUUAGCAGGAGAUCUUUUAUGCAAUCAACAAUAUAUUUCAAGAAGCAAAAAUAAAAACGGCUAUCAUGCUAACAGCCUAACAAAUCUCCUUAAAAAUAGUAACUAAUUAGGAAAUAAUUUACCUAGGAGAUCGGUAACAUACUACCUAUACCCCUUGAACUGAGAACCGACUUGUUAGCUGGAAAUUACCAAAAAGUAUCGUAAUUAAUGUUGAAUAAAAAAAACAUAUUUAUACACUCACCAUUGACAAAUUCGUAUUACCAUACAGUAAAAAAGGAAGAACAAAAGAUAUCAAGGAAAAAGAAAUAAAUGUAUGAUAUUAUUCAAUACAGUAAACUUGGUGCAAAUUAUUUUAGAAACAUUUCCCUAUCUUUAAUACUCCAUCCAUCCCAUAAAGAUGAGCUUGCUCCAAUUUUCACAAGAUUAAGAAAACAUAAUUAAUACAGUUGAAAAUAUAAAUUUUUACUUACAUUUUUUCUAGUAUUUGUUAUUGACAGCGAUAACCAUUCCAUUGCAGAACCUCUUUCUAACUACGAUAAGCAAUUUGAUUUAUUUGCCAAAGAGAGCCACCUUUCGCAAUUUGAUUGUUUUAAUUACAAUGUUAAGCUUUUACUUGAAUUCCAGUAGCCCUUUCCAAGUGCAAAUGUUUCUCUUUUUCUUGAUGUUCAGAUUAUCUGCUCUGUGAUAUUUGCUUUUGGAGCAAUUUGAUAAGAUCUUUGAUUGUUGCUGCCAAACUGAAAGUUGCAGAUUAAAACUCUUUGACUACCAAAGGCUGGGCAGCUGCUUGAAGAGCGCUGAAACUAUUUUUUGUAAAGUAUUUUUUUGUGUAUUGAAUUGGGGAAUGUAAAACAAUUGUAUAUGAAUUGAUGAAAUGAAGACAGGAUUGAAAUGAUAAUUUCCAGGCUAUUCGAGAUGCCUUGGUUCUCACCACUCUUUUCUCAACUAAUCACUUGAAUGCCUUCCCCAGCUCCCCACUAUUACAUUUAUAGCUAUUCUACUAUAUUUCUAUUCGCCCUUUUACCCUUUUGCUAACCAACUAGUGGAACACUCUAGAACUUUGAAUGAAUAACUUGUAUGAGCCAAUCUUAUUGGAAGUCGGAGUCUUAUCACAAUUCUCCUUAGUGAGAAUCUUAAGAAGCGUUUCUUCAUGACUAUUUUUCCAUCGGAGGCAAUGUUAAGAAGCACACUUUUCAAGAUUCGUUAAAAGUCAAUUACAUUUUACAAUUGUUAAUUCCUCUAAUGAAUAUUAUGAAUGACUCUCAGUAACUCGAUAUUAAUAAUUUUGCUGGUUUGUUCACAUGCUUACAUGUUAGGUUGCGUUGCUUGCCUUACGAUUCUGAGUAUUGCUUUCACCAAGGUGCUUAUGUUUUAGGGUAAAGUUGGAUUCUUUUUCAGCCUACUGAGAACUGAUGAAAUUCUUAACUUGCCAUUCGAUAUAUUACGGAGAUGAACUUAGGUUAGAUAAUAGCCACUCAGUGACGUUCGUGGCGGCUGGACGUUUAAUCUCACAACUUGGGACUGCAUGAGAUGCACACUAAAUGUAGGAGGCUUGAAUCUUGUUCUCACUUUUAGUGUAUAUUGUUGCAUUGAUGCUAGUGAAUUCAAUUUUCUAUCUACCUUUUUGGUCUACUCGUGUGUCUGGCUUUGCUUGUGGGGAACAAGAGCAAUCACCAGUCAAAAGAAGGGGACAAAGUCACGGUCGUUUAUAUUUUUGGACACCAGCACUAUCUCCUUAGCUUUGUUUGCUGGAGAAGAAUGAUGCCACGUUUAACCUUGUGACUAUUUACAGUCAGAAAUAUAUGAUACAUGCACCAUUAGUCUGUCACCCAAUUACUGGAUUGGAAAGUAUCCGCUCAGUGACUUUCGGUUGUUGGACUGUAAUAAUUCACAGCUUGUGACUGCAUCAGACGCACACUAAAUGUAGGAGGUUUGAAUCUUGUUGGGACUUUUUGUGUAUACUGUUGCAUUGAUGCCGGUAAUUCAAUAUUCCUUCUACCUUUUUUGGUCUACACUUGGUGUAAUAUUGGUCGAUGUGUCUGGCUUUGCUUCUCAGGUACAUGAGUCAUCAAUUAGUCAAAAGAAGGGGAUAAAGGCAUUGUCCUUUAUAUUUUUGGACACCGGCAUUAUCUCCUAAGCUUUGUUUACUGGAGAGGAAAGAUGCUGGUUUUAACCUUGUAACUAUUUACUGUCAAAAAAUAUAUGAUUACUUGCAUAAUUACCUCAUAAUUCUAUCAUACUGACACAUAAUCCUUGUUGGUAUUCAACUUGACUUUUUGGUUUACUUGGCGUUGUUCUCAUAUCUUUUUUUUCUAUAUUUCUUCCAACAUUCAGAAGUUCAUAGGUUUUUGUUCUGGUUUGGGGCAGACCACUGUUCCUGAUAUCUUGGUACUACUUGACAUCAGCAUUUUUUAAGAGUUGCUCUGUUCCUUGGGAACCUGCUGUCUAAGUGGUCUUCAAGGUGGUGGUGAAGCAAUAUCUUUACAUUGUCUUCUGGGUGAUGGAAUGUGAUCUUCAUUCUUAUACGAAUCCAUUUUCUUAGUGCUGCUUCAUCUGCCGAUAGAAAUCCUCAUGGUCAAAGAUAUGUAUACGUCUUUUCUCCACUUUCUGAGGUAAGCUAGAAAUAGAUUGAAAAUUUGAAAUUAUGUCAACUAUUAAUUCACAUAAAAAAAUGUCAACACUUGCCUUGGUAACUCUAAGAUUUGUUUUAAGGUGCAAUAACCUUUGAUCGUUCAGUUGGGAGGCAGCAGAAUCAAAGUUGGCUGCAUGUUUUUUGUAUCUCUAUGCUGACUGCUCUUAUUUGCAAUUCCUCUUCAUUUCUUCUUUCUUCAAGAUAUAGAAUCUGGUUCANACCGUCAGAAAUAUAUGAUACAUGCACCAUUGGUCUGUCACCCAAUUACUGGAUUGGAAAGUAUCCGCUCAGUGACGUUCGGCUGCUGGACUGUAAUAAUUCACAGCUUGGGACUGCAUCAGACGCACACUAAAUGUAGGAGGUUUGAAUCUUGUUGGGACUUUUCGUGUAUGCUGUUGCAUUGAUGCCGGUAAUUCAAUUUUCCUUCUACCUUUUUUGGUCUAUCAUUGGUAUAAUAUUGGUCAAUGUGUCUGGCUUUGCUUCUCAGGUACACGAGUCAUCAAUUAGUCAAAAGAAGGGGAUAAAGGCAAAGGCAUGGUCCUUUAUAUUUUUGGACAAAGCUUUGUUUACUGGAGAGGAAAGAUGCUGUGUUUAACCUUGUAACUAUUUACUGUCAAAAAUAUAUGAUUACUUGCAUAAUUACCUCAUAAUUCUAUCAUACUGACACAUAAACCUUGUUGAUGUUCAACUUGACUUUUUGGUCUACUUGGCAUUGUUCUCAUAUCUUCUUUUUUUUCUAUAUUUCUUCCAACCUUCAGAAGUUCAUAUGUUUUUGUUCUGGUUUGGGGCAGACCACUGUUCCUGAUGUCUUGGUACUACUUGACAUCAGCCUUUUUUAAGAGUUGCUCUGUUCCUUGGGAACCUGCUGUCUAAGUGGUCUUCAAGGUGGUGGUGAAGCAAUAUCUUUACAUUGUUUUCUGGGUGAAACUGAUUUUUUCCCAGUUGCAUGGAAUGUGAUCUUCAUUCUUAUACGAAUCCAUUUUCUUAGUGCUGGUUCAUCUGCCGAUAGAAAUCCUCGUGGUCAAAGAUAUACGUCUUCUCUCCACUUUCCAAGGUAAGCUAGAAAUAGAUUGAAAUUAUGUCAACUGUUAAUUCACAUAAAAAAUGUCAACACUUGCCUUUGUAACUCUAAGAUUUGUUUUAAGGUGCGAUAACCUUUGAUUGUUCAGUUGGGAGCCAGCAGGAUCAAAGUUGGCUGCAUGUUCUUUGUAUCUAUGCUGACUGCUCUUAUUUGCAAUUCCUCUUCAUUUCUCCUUUCUUCAAGAUAUAGAAUAUAGUUCACUUGGUAUAAAUGAUAUGAUUCUGAAACAUGGUAAUGGAGAUUGCUUUAUCCUCUGAUGAUAUUUGUAAGUCGAUAUUCCAUCCUGGCCAUUUCGUAUAUGGUUCAAUUCAGUUCUCCCCGUGUCAACAGUUCUGUUUGGUUGAUUCCUUCUUUAAAUACAUUAUAUAUAUUCUGAGGGUUACAGAGGAUGUUCCUGUUGCUAGAUUUGAAGAACCUGUAGCAGAUAUCUAUAUGAUUAAUCAGCUUCAUUUGCUGUUGACAGCAAAAACAGUUUCAUUGCAGAAUCUCUCUUUCCAAAGACAGCAAAACUUAUUUGAUUCAUUUGCCAAUGAUCUUUCUUGACACAAUUAAGGGUGUAAUUAGUGUGUUUCGUGCAGUCUUUUAUUUAGUUGGCUCUCAUUUCAGCAGUUGAUUUCCAUUUGAGGACAAGUUUCAGAGUUUAUGGAUGUUCAGAUCCUCUGCUUUGUAGUAUUUGCUUUGGGAGCAACCCCACCCACGUCGAAUUCCUAAUAAGAAGUUUUGUCAUGACAAAUUUACAUUGGACACAGUGGGAGGCUUGCAAAGCAUUUAUUUUUUGGACAACAAAUGCAUACGAGUGAAAUCUUAAUAUCAGGUAGUGACCUCAUUUCCUUAGCAAUCUUCUCAAACCUAGUUAUGACUAUGAAGUGGCUUAAACUACCAUUGGGGUUUUGUUUCUCUAUCUAGAUUAUGAAAUACCACAGCUCUUAUCACUAGAUGGAUUUCAAGAAAGUCAACAAAGGUGGAGAAUUCAGUGAAAAAAGGCUGUCUUUAGGAAUAUAUGUUACAAGGUCCGAAAGGUUUGUGUCGGGAACCCACCCAAUUCAUAGAAAUAGAAGGAUGGCAGCCAUUAACUCCUCAUUCCUUGACACGAAGACCGAGGUAGGGGGAAAAAAUCAACUGGUGGUCAAAUAGAGUGAAAUUGGGUAUUUUCCCAGUAAUUAAUUCCGUAACUGCAUUCUCAACAUAGAAGAAAAUAAUUCUUGGCUUGCUUAUGAAGAAAUUGGCAUUAACAAGACAACUUGUUGUCCCAAAAAAACAAGCAAAAGCUACCAAGAUGCAGGACAGAACUAUGUAUUUGAUGUUAUGAGAUAACAAUGACUUUUGUUUCCACUUUAUAUCUUCUUAGAGACAAAAUGCUUUGUUAAUCCAUGCAUAAGAAUAUAUCUGCACAAUAAUUUAUUUGGACAUACAGUAGCCGUAGCAGGAAAUUUUGUCCACAAAAUCCAGUGCAACUGCCCCCACUUGGCCUCAAGGGCAGCUCUGCCUCAGGUUGAGAAACAGGCUCUGGAGAUGUGUAAGAAAAGUGAUAUCUGUUACUUCCACACUUGAAGAUGCUUCAUAACUUUCCAGUAACUUCAGUUUGGUGGCUGUCCAAACAUGCUUACAUGUGUAUGUUAAAUAUUGCUUGUGGAAAAGCUUUACAAUUUAGAGUACUGCUGUCACCAAGGUGUUUAUGUUUGCAGCUAAUGUGGACUCUUUUGCAGCCUACUGAUAACUGAUAAAUUUUCUGUUAGCUAUGAAUUAUUCAUGCCAACAUUGUGAGAUAUGGUGGCACCUGGAGUCCCAAUCUAAGCUGUUUUGAUUCAUAUCUAGUGGCUGCAUCAGAUGAUACUGACUGUAGGAGGCUUGAAUCUUAUCGGUGCUAGUGGUAUUUAUUGCAUUAACCCUACUGAAAUAAUAUUUUCUUGUGUUGUAUCUGAGUACACACAGCAUGGUUAGUUAUAUUAAUUGCUCAGCUUAUACUAACUAUAACCAGCACCAUCCAAGCAUGGGAUCAGGGACACAAGUAGUACAUGACUGACCUCAUCAACUUUAUCUUGAGCAAAGGUUUAAUUACUCACCAUUAGAAAAAGGGACAAAGUUAGUGUCCUGGGUGUUGACCUUGGGUACCAGCAUCAAGUCCUAAGCUUUCUUUACUGAAGAAGAAAGAGGCAUUUGACCCUGGGACCAUGUAAGCUGUUUGCUACAUAAUAAGCAAUUGUGAGGAAACAUGCUCAUUAUUGCUCUGACAUACGAGCUCCAAGCAUCUCUGAGAACUGUCCAAACCAACAAAAGGAAACUAAAGUGCCUCUGUAAAGCACUAUCUGAAUCACAUUCAAAUCAAUAAUUGUAUUACAUUGAUGACGACUGGCAAAUACGAGGUUACUAAAGGUGUUUGGUACGCAGUUUUGUUUGCAUCAAAGUCUGUUAAAUUUAGUUCAUAAUCUGUCUAACUUAAGCAGUGAACUCAAUGCUAAAGUGCCUCAUGCCUCACUCCAACGGCUGCAUUUUUCUGCUCUUUUCUCGUGAAAUUUGAUAUUCGUUGGUAGAAGUAUGAAAUAUCAGGUAUGAUGGGAUAUCUUGCAGUGAGAUUAAAGUUUAGAUAUCUAUUGCAUGGAUUGAAGAUUGCACUUCAGAUAAUAAUACUUUAGUAGUUCCUUGCCCUUUUGCAUUUUGAUCAAAAUUAUGCUGAAGUUUUAUAGUGAGGAUGAAAUGCUGAAAGAUAAGCAAUUUAUUUAUGACAUGUUAAAGCCAUUGGUUACUGAUAUAUAUGAUAUUAUGAUAAAACUGGAUCAAGACGUGGUCAAUAGCGUCUGGGUGGUGGUAUGGUUACAGUUAACGUUUCAUUCUACAGAGCGUCGUUCUUUGAGGUGAGUGGUUAUCGAUCUUCCUUUUCUUUAGAUUCCAUAUCUAACUCCUUUUCUUCUGUUUUUAGUUUUGCAGAAUGUAUUAUUUUUUCCCCAUUACUAUUUUGUGUUCAUCGGAAAUGGUACCGUCUAGUUAUGAUUAUUUAAUAGACCUAUAACUGUGGUUUAAUUGUUUUCAAUUUGCAAUUUGGGUUCUUAACUUGUUGGUAAAUUUGUCUAAUUGUGUUUUGCGAGAAGCCUAAGAUUGGAUUGUAGUUGAGGGAGGACUGUGCUGGUCGUCUGAGGUGACCUCAUACAUGACGAUAAUAGAAAUGUCUCUUGGCUGGAGGUUGAUGAAACUCUUAUUCUUGGGUAUGUUACUUGAUUCAAUUGAGAUUCAAAUGUGGUCUUUUAUGGAAAAUAAGUUGUCCCAGUUCUUUUAUGUUAUAUUUAGUUCCUCUACCAUCGUGAUAUGUUUUAGUUUAACACAGUUUCCAAAGAAAUUUAUUUUGUAAGGCACUUGAUAGGAAAUGCCUUAGGUGUUGAAGUGGAUUUCUUAUCUUUAUCAUCAGGUCGAAAGUGUGGAAUAUGUAUGUACUUUCAUGAUAAUGUUGGGUGCAAUAUCAUGAAUACAAAUAGCUAUCUGUAUCUUGAUGGUACAUGUAGGAAAUUGAAGCUUGGAAGUAUUCUACCUGGUGAUUAACAAGAUUGUUAUGUAAUGUGAGUGAAGUAGUUGCAGCUAUGCUACAAACGUAGUUUUUGAAAUGUCUUUGUUUGGUACUUAAUUAUGUGAAUUUAAUUAGUCUUCCUGAUUAUCAUAAAUGAUUUUAUUUCCCUCUUGCAUUUUUGGUUCAUAGUCAAAUGCUGCCUAGAUCCCAAAGAAAUAUAAGGAGUUGGUAGAAUUAUAAAGGAAUGCUUGGAACUACUAUCAUUUUACCAAUAUUUUCCCUCCAUUUCACAAUUCUCUCAGUUUUAGAAUCUCUCUUUUCAUAAUAAUUUGAAUAUUUGCUUAGCAUAAUUUUUUGCAAGUGUUUAUAAACAGAUGAAAAUGAGUAAUAGAUAGUACUUAUAGGUCUUACGAAAUAUGCACUAUUAUACCCAUGUAGUAUGUUUGUAGAACUCCACUUAGAGUUCCCACGCAGGUUAUGUAGGGUUGAUUGCCAACUAGUUUUAGUAGUUGAGAUAUCAACAAAGAAAGAAAAUGUAGAGGGGAAAGAUUUAACAUAGUUUAUGGAUAGUGGCUGUAAUUCAAUGGUUUGGUGUUAGGAUGCAUGUUGCAUUGUUGCUUCAUUCUGUGUCGGUUUUGGUCUAGGUAGUAGACUCUUUUAACUCCGCCUAUGUUGCAUGUUCGCUUGAUACAGCCGGUCCCAAGCGCGAUAAAAGAGGAGGGAUGAGCUGACAUAUGGUGCAGUUGCCAAAUGGAUAAAGAUCUCGUGUGGAGUAUUUUUAAUGUUCUCACGUCUCGAUUUAGUCAUUUCGAGUAUGUGAUUGAUUCUGCAAUUAAUAGUUUUCUUAUACUCAUCUCCUUUUUUGAUUGCACAUAUUUUCUCAAUGAUCGGAUUGGUUAUAUGGUUAUAUCGUUUGGAUUCAUGGAAAGAUUGAUCAUUUAUUCAAAAGUUGUAUGAUAACUUGGAUUCAUACUUUUUGUAGUUUAUUAAUUUUUGCAUAUUUUGACAUGGUAAGAAGAA
rnacentral:lncRNA from 1 species